rnacentral:rRNA from 1 species
CCCUUAGACGUUCUGGGCCGCACGCGCGCUACACUGACCAGUGCAACAAGCAUCCGUCCUUGGCCGACAGUCCCGGGCAAUCUUUGAACGCUGGUCGUGAUGGGGAUAGACUUUUGCAAUUUUUGGUCUUCAACGAGGAAUUCCUAGUAAACGCAAGUCAUCAACUUGCAUUGAUUACGUCCCUGCCCUUUGUACACACCGCCCGUCGCACCUACCGAUUGAAUGGUCCGGUGAAGCCUCCGGAUUGGCGCGCACCUCGGUGCCGCCGAGAAGUUGGCUAAACCUUACCAUUUAGAGGAAGGUGAAGUCGUAACA